CCUCCCUUUACCUCUAUCUCGUCUCUCAUCCCCCAGCUUUCUCUCUCUCUCAACUCCGGCCAUAGAAACACGCCCUCCCUCUGUCCUCCGCGGCCGCAGCAACGACAGCCACCAAGCUCGUCACACUUCCCUCGUCUCCCUUCCCUCGUCUCCCUCUCCCCCAUCUCUCAAUUCUUAUGAAGAAGACACAAAGCCCCAAAUUUACUCACAAAAUCGUGCCCUAGCUGCUCCUCCGGCGAAUCGCCGCCGCCAGUGGAGGGUCGGCGAGGUGCAGCCCUUCCCUCUCUCUUCCUCUUCACUCAAUACUUCUCAUUUUCUCAAACUCCCAACCUCAAAAUCGUACCGAGCCCUAAUUAUUUCUCUCUACCUGAACCCAGCGAUGUCACCGCGGUUCCAGUUCGAUGUACCGUCGUGCCAUCGACUUGGGUUCCACAGAUUGUGUUUUGCUUCAAAGAAAAUCAGUAAGGGCUGUCGUCGACGCUAGGUCCUGAAACGGUGAGGUUCGCCGUUCUAACUUGAUGGGAACAGGGCAGUCGGGCUUCCUAAGAGCUAAGUCUUACUCUUGUCUCAUUUCUUAUCCAUUGUGAUAUAGUAUCAAUGUAAGCAUGUUGACUUCUUUGAGUAAGAAAAUAUCAGAACUUAACAUCUAUCAGUGUGAGUAUGUCGUGGCUAAAAUUUAUGUUCGAUUUGUGCUAUGUGGUCCCUUUUGCUUGUCAGUAAAAUCUGUUGAAUUUAUAAAAAAUUUACUAGGAUUUUAGGUGGUAGAAACCAUAGAUUUUGGGGAUUUUUUUUUUCUCUCAAAUUCAACAUAUAUGCGAAAGGUAAAACACCCUACUUUUUCAAGUGUCCUUAUCUCUUUGCGUCGAUGCUUAAUUAGUUCUUUUAGUUGUUUACCAAUGCAUCCAUGCACAGGUAGUCAGGUACCUCUUGUUAUUUAACCAUAAUAUUUGACCUGAAGGUGGGGAGUAAUCAUUGUUUGCAUUGCUGGAUAUCUAUUUUCUCUGAGAAUGACUAAUCUUUAGUUGCUUCAGGUUGUUUCUGCAAUGGUAAACAAUGACUUAAUGAGCAUAGCAAACACCAGGCCUCUGAAAUCAUGGAAGGAAACCCUUGCUCUCUUUUGUACAGUUAACUUAGUGAAUGAUGGUCUGGUGACAAUGCAGCUUGAAUAAAGGGAAUCAUCUUAAAUAGUUGCAAUAAAGAUCAAGAGCCAUUAUUAUUAGUAUGAGGGAGGGUUGUCAUUCUCCCAGUCACAACCACAGAGGAGGAACCAUGGCUGGAGCCCUGAUGUUGCUGCUUCCCCUUCUCUUUCCAACUCUUUUCACUCCUUUCAGCCAUGCCUUUCCCUCAGUUCUCUCGUUGAUUCAUGCAUGCAUUCUGUAUCUCUUGCCCUUGAGAAGGCCCUGAAGGAUACAAGGGAGGGAGUAUCUGCUUCCUGUUGGAAUCAUAUUAAAGCGCUAGCACUGAAGAGUAAAGAAGAGUUUGGAACAGCAUACUUGGCGCCGGUGGCGAUGCUUUUGAGCAUGAGGCAACUAGAAGAAUGCGUAAUAAAUUUAUGGUAGCUUGGGAUGGCUUGAGGUCAAAAGACAACCAGAGAAUCAUAGCAGGUUGAUUAACUAGUUCUUGAGGACUUGGUGCUAGAAACAUUGUAUGAUAGAUUUUUGUUUUAGCUAUAAGGUAGUUGGUAUACUUGAUAUUUGGUUCAUUUGUAUAAUAAUGUAUGAAUUUUUUGGAUGA